AAUUAUUUUGUUUAAUCCCCUCCCCAAACCAAAAAUGUCGUCGUUUACCCUUCUCUUCCCAAAAUCCCCCUUCCCUCCCAAAAUCCCCAUUUCCUCGUAUUAGCUAGGUCUUAAUUUAGGAAAAAUAGUGGAAAAAGACAAUCCUAGCCAAUUCCUCUUUCAUUCUUGCUCUCUGGCCUAUACGUCGUGCAAAACCCUUGUCGUCUUGCUUCAAUUGUCUCAAUGUGCCGUCACCGUCGCCACUCCAUCUUCUCAAACGCAGAACCAGAACCAGUUUCUAGUUGCUAGUUAUGCAGAAUCGGUUGCACGAAGUUGCCGCGCCUUUACCGGUCACCAAUUCGUCGCCGCUCUGCCACUCUUUUGUCGCCUCUUUGCUGUGCUUCGUUUCCAUCUUUGCCGCCGUUCCUGGUUGUUGUUCCCAAAGAUAGCGAACGAGGAGUGCAUUUUAGAACGAUUGGUAGCUUUAUUUGUGCAAUGAUGAUUGGCACGUAUGGUUGAUGGUGGCAAGAAGAAGGGUGGAGGUGGAUUUCAAGUGGUGAAGAGAAAGGUGAAAACCAAGUUGAUAGGCAAUGGAGCUUGAUAAAUGAGGUUUGACUUCAUUUUUGUGAUUUUAGGUUUGAUUUCAUUAUAAUAGUUGUCUCUCUUCGACAAUUUUGUCUCUAAUCACCAUCUACGAACUUUAUAAUACAAUCUAAGAAUUUCCAUUUAGAUAUUACUAUUCAUUGAUAACAAAUAAUGCUCGUGUAUUCAACUUUGUUGUGGUAGUUGUCUCUCCUCUGUAACUUUGCCUCUAAUCAUCUAUGAACUUUAUACAAUUUACAAAUCUACCUUUUCAUCUUAUUAUUAAUAAAAGAUAAUUUACACUCAAUUCACCGUACACACACGCUGCCUAUAUAUUGUGUUUGUUGGAUAAAUUAGUUGUUGAUAGGAAGAAAGCUUAGCUUUUUGUUUACUUGAUGCGGUAUAUACUUAGUACUAGCACUGAGUGAAGUUCAUUAUUAUAGAAUCUUGCGAGGUGUAGUUGAUUUAUUAAUGUCCUUCUAUGCCAUCUAAGUCUGCAUAUUUGCAUCUUGAGCAUUAAAUAUUUGCAUAUUCUCUUUUAUUUUAUCACUUAUUUUUAGUGUGCUGGCCAUUUUUAAUAACAUGGAAUGAAAUUAUCCCAAGUAGCAUGAUCCUACUUUUUUGGCACAUGAAUGUUUUAAGGUAGGUGGUGCACGAAAUUGUGAUCUCAAUGGCGCCAACAAUUUGGUACGCACAAUUGUAAUCUCAACUCUUUUUCAUAAUUUCGCACAAUUAACCAGCAAGUGCACUGGGUCGUCCAAGUAAUAAACCUUACGUGAGUAAGGGUUGAUCCCACGGAGAUUGUCGACUUGAAACAAGCUAUGGUCAUCUUGUAAAUCUCAGCCAGGCAUAUUCAAAUGGUUAUGGAGUUUUGAUAAUUAAAAGAUAAAUAAACAUAAAAUAAAGAUAGAGAUACUUAUGUAAUUCAUUGGUGGGAAUUUCAGAUAAGCGUAUGGAGAUGCGUUAUUCCUUCUGAAUCUCUGCUUUCCUACUGUCUUCAUUCAAUCAUUCAUACUCCUUUCCAUGGCAAGCUGUAUGUUGGGGAUCACUGUUGUCAAUGGCUACCUCCCAUCCUCCCAGUGAAAAUGGUCCUCUACGGUUUCUGUACAGCUAAUCAACUGUCGAAUUUCUCGUCUCGGAUGAAAAAUACCAGGCACAGCUACCGUAUGGCUAAUCAGCUGUUGGUUCUCGAUCGUGUCGGAAUAAGAUCCAAUGAUCCUUUUGCGUCUGUCACUACGCCCCACAGUCGCGAGUUUGAAGCUCGUCACAGUCAUCCCCUCCCAGAUCCUACUCGGAAUACCACAGACAAGGUUUAGACUUUCCAGAUCUCAAGAAUGCUGCCAAUUGAUUCUAGCUUAUACCACGAAGGUUCUAAUCUCAGAUUUAGAUGCCCCAUUGUCAGAGGGGAAACAAUGUGAAUCAUUGAUUAGAAACCCAAGAGAUACACACUCUAGCUUUCGCAGAUAGAACGGAAGUGGUUGUUAAGCAUGCGUUCAUAAAUUGAGAAUGGUGAUGAGUAUCACGGAUCAUCACAUUCAUCAGAUUGAAGUGCGAGUGAAUAUCUUAGAAUAAAAAGAAGCUUGAAUUGAAUAUAAGAACAAUAGUACUUUGCAUUAAUACUCGAGGAAUAGCAGAGCUCCAUACCUUAAUCUAUGGUGUGUAGAAACUCCACCGUUGAAAAUACAUAAGUGAUGAAGGUCCAGGCAUGGCCGAAUGGCCAUCCCCCAUAAAAGUCUAAGAUAGCAUAAAACUGAUCAAAGAUUGGUUUAAGGACUAAACGUCCAAAGAUAUGAGUACAAUAGUAAAAAGUCCUAUUUAUACUAAACUAGUUGCUAGGGUUACAGAAAUAAGUAAAUGAUGCAGAAAUCCACUUCCGGGCCCACUUGGUGUGUGCUUGGGCUGAGCAUUGAAGCUUUCAUGUGUAGAGACUUUUCUUGGAGUUAAACGCCAGUUUUUAUGCCAGUUUGGACGUUUAACUACAGCUUCUAUCCUGUUUCUGGCGUUUAACGCCAGAAUAAGGCAGGAAGUUGGCGUUUUAAUGCCAGUUUGCAUCGUUAAAACUCGAGCAAAGUAUGGACUAUUAUAUAUUGCUGGAAAGCCCAGGAUGUUGACUUUCCAACGAAAUUGAGAGCGCACCAUUUGGGCUUCUGUAGCUCUGAAAAAUCUAUUUCGAGUGUAGGGAGGUCAGAAUCCAACAGCAUCUGCAGUCUUUUUUCAGCCUUUGAAUCAGAUUUUUGCUCAGGUUCCUCAAUUUCAGCCAGAAAAUACCUGAAAUCACAGAAAAAUACACAAACUCAUAGUAAAGUCCAAAAAUGUGAAUUUUGCUGAAAAAAUAAUAAAAAUAUACUAAAAAGUAGCUAGAUCCUACUGAAAACUACUUAAAAACAAUGCCAAAAAGCGUAUAAAUUAUCCGCUCAUCACAACACCAAACUUAAAAUGUUUCUUGUCCCCAAGCAACUAAAAAUUAAAUAGGAUAAAAAGAAGGGAAUAUACAAUGAAUCUCACAAUAUCAAUGAAACUCAGUCCCAAUUAGAUGAGCGGGGCUAGUAGCUUUUUGCUUCUGAACAGUUUUGGCAUCUCAUUUUAUCCUUUGAAAUUUAGAAUGAUUGGCAUCUAUAGGAACUCAGAAUUUUAGAUAGUGUUAUUGAUUCUCCUAGUUCAGUAUGUUGAUUCUUGAACACAGCUACUUUAUGAGUCUUGGCCGUGGCCCUAAGCACUUUGUUUUCCAGUAUUACCACCGGAUACAUAAAUGCCACAUACACAUAAUUGGGUGAACCUUUUCAGAUUGUGACUCAGCUUUGCUAAAGUUCCCAGUUAGAGGUGUCCAGAGUUUUUAAGCACACUCUUUUUGCUUUGGAUCACGACUUUAACCACUCAGUCGCAAGCUUUUUACUUAGACCUUCAUGACACAAGCACAUGGUUAGGGACAACUUGAUUUAGCCGCUUAGGCCUGAAUUUUAUUUCCUUGGGCCCUCCUAUCCAUUAAAUCUCAAAGCCUUUGAUCCUUUUUACCCUUGCCUUUUGGUUUAAAGGGCUAUUGGCUUUUUCUGCUUGCUUUUUCUUUUUCUUUUUUUUUUCUUUUUUACCAAAUUUUUUUCGCUACUUUUUUUCU